UGAAAACGUUUUAAAAUGAGUUGUUCUUAAUUUUUGGGAUAAAAAAGAGUGCCUGUUGGCCAUAUCUGGAGAGAUUCUUUUUUAUCCUAAGAAAAAUAACUUAUAGGAGGAAGAACACGA
rnacentral:snoRNA from 1 species